UCCCCUAUCGGUGCUUUGUAGUAUCUGCUCUGCUUGUUACACACACUCAACACUCUGUCAGACUCCUUUCAAUGGCUGCAUGAGCCUCCAUCGCACUGAUGCCUCCGCUCACAGCUCUUUGCCGUGCUCUCUUCAUGUUCACAGUUCUGCUCACCCACAAAGCCUCUUAAAGGUCCUAAAACCUAGCUCGGAUUGAAAUCAGACUCUGGAUUGGACUCUUAUAGCUUCUCGGCCAUUCGAUCGCACCUCAUGUCAGGAAACUAAUUGUUGGAUCGUGCUCCAUCAUGACCCUGCACAUCGUUUGAUCACUGAAACAGCUCACAGCCAUUGGAUCUUGACCAUAAGCCCUGCAAACCAUCCGAUCAUGCCAUAGUCUGUGAGAGCCACUGUGAGCCACAAGAAACCAGCUUGAAAUGUCAUCUGAUCCACCAUAGACCAUGUGAAAUGCGAUGUGAAAUGUCGUCGAUCCACUCAUGGGGCAUGGACCGCAUGAAGGCACUGGGCUGUGCCUGCACAUCCAUUGGGUUAGGCCCGCGCAUGCCAGCGUUGGAUCGUACGCCAACCACCGACCUGCUCAUGCCCGUGCACUGGGCCUGGCCCACAUGCUUGUGGGCCCGCAGGCCCUGUGGACCCGUCUGCUGUCCAUGAGCCCUGCCAACCCACCUCCUCACCUUUUUUGCACAUAUCUUCUCCAUCUGGAC
rnacentral:lncRNA from 1 species